UACGUAGGGUGCAAGCGUUAAUCGGAAUUACUGGGCGUAAAGGGCUCGUAGGCGGCCAACUAAGUCACACGUGAAAUCCCCAGGCUUAACCUGGGAACUGCGUGUGAUACUGGAUGGCUUGAAUUCGGGAGAGGGUAGUGGAAUUCCCGGUGUAGUGGUGAAAUGCGUAGAUAUCGGGAGGAACACCAGUGGCGAAGGCGACUACCUGGCCUGUUCUUGACGCUGGAGGCGCGAAAGCUAGGGGAGCAAA
rnacentral:rRNA from 1 species